AUGGGGUCGCAAAGAGUCAGACACGACUGAGCGACUUCACUUUUCACUUAUUUCUUAAAAAAAAAAAAAGUAAUCGGAGUAUAGUAGCUUUACAAUGUUGUAGUAGUUUCUGCUGCACAGUGAGGUAUCCCCCUCCCACUUAGGUCACCACCGAGCGCUACGGUAGCAUUCCCUGUGCGAUACGGUAGGCUCUCCUUAGUUAUCUACUUUAUACGUAGUAUCAGUAGUAUCUCUGUGUCAGCCCCAGUCUCCCAAUUCAUCCCAUGCCUCCGCUUUCCCCACUGGCAUCCGUCGGUUUGUUCUCUACAUCUGUGACUCUCUAUCUACUUUGUAAAUGAGAUUGUUUAUACCAGCUUUUUCAGAUUCUACACAUUCACGUUAAUACACGGUGUUUGUUUUUCUCUUAUAGAAGCCCUGAUAGAGCCUCUUAUCAGAAGGAGGUCUGAAAGUGUUAGUCAUUCAGGCUUGUCCGACUCUUUGCAAUCCCAUAGCCAGACUCCUCUGUCCUUGGAAUUCUCCAGGCAAGAAUACUGGAAUGUGAUUCACAAAUACAAAGGAAACAGAUCUCCUAGGAAAUGGUGGAGCUGGGGCCUCAAACGUGUCUUUCUCUACUGAUUCUGCUGUGCACAGAGGUCACGGAGCAGCCCAGAAGUAUGGUCUGCCCUGCCAUCUCUUUUCCCUGACAGCUGCUUGAUUUUGUUCUCUGGGCCAGGGGAGACCUGGCUGAGGCCCAGUGAACAAGUAGCCAGGAUCCCCUCACGUCAUUAUGACCGAACACUUCCCCACAAGGUAUAUCCUGGCAUCCCCUCCCCCUAGGCUCACUGUUGAAAAUCAGUCUAGAAACGGCCCCUCCCCUGUGGACCUUGAUACCUGGGACUCUUGAUACCGGGAAAUUCCGAAGGGGCAGGAAGCAGGUGAGCAGGUGAGUGAAAUAUGCAGGCGCGUGGGCCAGUGCAUUCUUGGGCUCCAGGUCAGGCUGGUUUCAGCUCCCUCAAGACAAAGGGGUCAGCCAGCAGGUCUCGGGAGGGGUUGGAUACACAGGGGGCCUGACUGGGCAGGCUGGCCUGGGUGGGGGCGGCUUCUCUGGGAGGAGAAAGACAACUCAGAGGCCAGUGAGUGAGGAUUGUUAUCAGCUGGUCGGGCAGGACAGCUGUUACCAUCAGCUUGCCCCGUGACCUUGGGCGAGCCACUUCUUUCUGUGAACAGUGGGUUUGCUCUGGCCCGCUCUGAGGAAAUCCAAGGACAUCUUUAGCAGGUGGGUUGAGCUGGGCCAAGUGCCACCGUGGCAUAUCUUGGCAGCCUGCUGGCUAGAGGGGGGCGACCUCAGCCGCAUGAGACCCAGGUGCCUCAGCCGGAAGACCCUCUGCCAUCCAUACACGCUGCCGGAGGGGGCUGCCCUCGUAGGCUUUGGGGAGACCGGAGGGUGUCCUCACUUCAUCAGGGGAAAGAUACGGUUGGACGCGUCACCCCUGAGGCUGGGCCCUCGCCUUAGGCAUUCUACCUUGUGCUUUUAGCACAGGCUAUUCUGCCAUCUGGAUACCUUCCCCACCUCUUCCCAGUCCCGCAAGACUCUGUCAAACCUGCUUCUCCCGUUAUGCCUUCUGUGGUUACCGAAGGGCCUCUCCAGGCUUGAGCUACAAUUAAAUUUUAUGUACUUGUCAA